GAUGAACGCUGGCGGCGUGCCUAAUACAUGCAAGUCGAGCGAACAGAUAAGGAGCUUGCUCCUUUGACGUUAGCGGCGGACGGGUGAGUAACACGUGGGUAACCUACCUAUAAGACUGGAAUAACUCCGGGAAACCGGGGCUAAUGCCGGAUAACAUUUAGAACCGCAUGGUUCUAAAGUGAAAGAUGGUUUUGCUAUCACUUAUAGAUGGACCCGCGCCGUAUUAGCUAGUUGGUAAGGUAACGGCUUACCAAGGCAACGAUACGUAACCGACCUGAGAGGGUGAUCGGCCACACUGGAACUGAGACACGGUCCAGACUCCUACGGGAGGCAGCAGUAGGGAAUCUUCCGCAAUGGGCGAAAGCCUGACGGAGCAACGCCGCGUGAGUGAUGAAGGUCUUCGGAUCGUAAAACUCUGUUAUUAGGGAAGAACAAAUGUGUAAGUAACUGUGCACGUCUUGACGGUACCUAAUCAGAAAGCCACGGCUAACUACGUG
rnacentral:rRNA from 1 species